rnacentral:lncRNA from 1 species
CUGCCUGCCAUGGGAUGAGCACCUUUCCUCUGCCAUCCCCUCCUCAUACUGUUUCUGCCUGGGACCCAACUGACCAUGGACUGAAACUGUGAGCCAAAAUUCACUGGUGAAGCAGAAAUACCUUGGAAGGGAGGACAUGGAAGUCACAUGCAGGCUUCGUAAGGAACUGACCCCUCCAUAAAGGUGAGCCUAUUUAUGCUCUGCGCUGCAGGCUCACUGUGUGAACUCUCAUGCCUGCUUUGGAGCUUUUCCUGGGACCACUAGAUUCUUUCACCAACUAAAGGGGAAGUUGAGCACAGACAAGAGCAGUCUCUAGCUAUGAUGGCAAAAAGAAAGGAUGCAAGGAGAUUUAAGGCAAACCCAAAGCAAAUAUCCAUAAGCUGAUGCUUGAUGGAGAGAACUUUUGGAAAGGCCAAGCCAAG